UUUAUUCAUCUUCCCCAAAUUUUAGAAAUUUGGGGAAAUUUCUAAAUCAACCUCGGCAUCCACCAAAUCUGAAUCAUCUGAAUCAAAUUGUUGCUCGUCAUAAAGGGGUUCCUGAUCAUAAUCAUGAUUAGCACAACCCACUCUUCCCCAAUUCUCACGAUUGUCCCUUGUAGCCCUAGGUUUGGUGCAGUGGUCAGAACGGUGUCCAACUUCACCACAACGAUUACAUUUACCAUUAAAAGGCUUCACAUAAGGGCUCUUUGAAUGGUCAUUAACCUACUUUGCUCCAAUGUUCUCAUUUUGAUUGCUGGAAUUACCUAUAUAAUAAGAAGACUGCACACCUCCACUGUUAUUGGCGAGGCCUCUAUUUCCAACAAUACCACUUGUACCCCGAGUCUGUCCACUAAAAGGUCGAUUAUUGGGUAACUGCCUAUUGUUGUGAGAUUUUUUUUGCUUUUCCAUUCUCUCUAUGCCUUCAAAGCUAUAUGGCGUGCAUCUUCUACUGUAUACAAGAUUUGGGUUCCCAACGCUAUCUGAAUCUGCCACUCAAGCUCAUUCAUGUAUCUCACCACUUGUUGAUCAUCUGUUUCUUAAAAAUUACACCUGGCUUGUAAGAAAAUAAACUCCUCGGUAUCGGUUG
rnacentral:lncRNA from 1 species